rnacentral:rRNA from 1 species
AUUCCAGCUCCAAUAGCGUAUAUUAAAGUUGUUGCGGUUAAAAAGCUCGUAGUUGGAUUUCUGGUUCGCUGCGCCUGGCCCGCCUGCGUUAGCAGUGUGAGUGCCGGUUGCGCGGCGGCCAUCCUUCCGGACAACGGGCCUGCCCUUCACUGGGUUGGGCCCGCGACCCGGAUCUUUUACUUUGAAAAAAUUAGAGUGUUUAAGGCAGGCAAUUGCCCUGAAUACAUUAGCAUGGAAUAAUGAUAUAGGACUUUGGUUCUAUUUUGUUGGUUUCUAGGACUAAAGUAAUGAUUGAUAGGGAUAGUUGGGGGUGCUAGUAUUGAGCGGCCAGAGGUGAAAUUCUUGGAUUCGCUCAAGACUAACUUAUGCGAAAGCAUUCACCAGGGAUGUUUUCAUUA